rnacentral:rRNA from 1 species
AUGGUGGACGCACAAGGAUUUGAGUAUGUGUACAAAAUGAGAAGAAGUACCUUCAAUUACGUCUGCUGCUUGGUGAAGAUCCCACUUUUUGAAGAUAUGAUGGCAAAAAAUCACACCUUUGCUGACGGGAAAGUGUUGUCUUUACAAGAUGUUGUGGCUAUUGCUCUGAGAAUGCUGAACUCUGGUGAGCCAUCUGAGACUGUAGGAUCCUCUCUUGGUGUGAAUGAGUCAACUGUCUCUCUGGUAACUCGGAUGUUUGUUGAGGCUAUGUGCCAGCGAGCAAUGCACCACUUGGGCUGGCCAGGCUCUGCCAAAAUGGAGAAGAUCAAACGCAAGUUCGACAAGAUCCAUGGCCUGCCAAACUGCUGCGGUGUUGUACAUACAACUCAUAUCACGUUUGGAUCACAAGACCGUGGCCAUGAGGAGAACGGCAACAUCCUACUGCAAGCCAUUGUUGAUCCAGAUAUGAGGCUCACAAACAUUUGGUGGAACCUAUCAGGUAGCAUGAACCAGUUGAUCAUUUUGCAGGACUCCAGUCUCUUCAAGUCCUGCGAGAGGGGUACUGGGUUGAAUGGUAGCAAGCUGAAGGUAUCAUCUCGUGGUGGAUUAGAAGUCGGCGAGUACAUCAUUGGUGAUGCAGGACAUCCUCUUCGACCUUGGCUCCUCACACCUUACCGGAUAGAGAAUGACCGCUCACUCUCAGACUCCAAAGUGGAAUUUAACAGGAGACACUCUGCAGCUACAGUCGUUGCGCUGAGGGCGUUGGCAGGUUUUAAAGACACAUGGAAGUGCCUGCAGGGAGAAGGUUGGCAUCCAAGUAAUAAACAUGAAAUGUUCUCGACAAUCAAAACGUGCUGGAUGUUGCAUAACAUAGUGAUAGAUAUGGAUGAGGAGGAAGAGGAGGAGGAGCAUGCAGGCAUGCCGAGCGAUCAGGAGUACAGCAAGCAAGUGCGGCAGGUAGCAGACGAGGACGCCGUCGGGGUGAGGGAUGCACUGUCCCAGCACAUAAUCGAAUCUAGAGUCCUCACAGUGGCCGCAGAGGAGGAACAAGAAGCAGCAGCAGUUGCAUCUAGUUCAGGAGAUGGAAACAAGGAACAGGAAGAGCACCGACAACGAAAAGCAAAUCGAGGAAAGGAGAAAGUGGAUGAUAGCUAG